rnacentral:rRNA from 1 species
UACGUAGGGGGCAAGCGUUGUCCGGAAUCAUUGGGCGUAAAGCGCGUGUAGGCGGCUCGGUAAGUCCGUUCUGAAAGUCCAGGGCUCAACCCUGGGAUGCGGAUGGAUACUGUCGAGCUCGAGUCCGGAAGAGGCGAGUGGAAUUCCUGGUGUAGCGGUGAAAUGCGCAGAUAUCAGGAAGAACACCCGUGGCGAAGGCGGCUCUCUGGGACGGUACUGACGCUGAGACGCGAAAGCGUGGGGAGCGAACAGG